GGUUAAGCGACUAAGCGUACACGGUGGAUGCCCUGGCAGUCAGAGGCGAUGAAGGACGUGCUAAUCUGCGAAAAGCGCCGGCGAGGUGAUAUGAACCCUUGACCCGGCGAUGUCCGAAUGGGGAAACCCAGUGUGUUCCGACACACUAUCGUUAACUGAAUACAUAGGUUAACGAGGCGAACCGGGGGAACUGAAACAUCUAAGUACCCCGAGGAAAAGAAAUCAACCGAGAUUCCCCCAGUAGCGGCGAGCGAACGGGGAGCAGCCCGGAGUCUGAAUCAGCUUGUGUGUUAGUGGAACGGUCUGGAAAGUCCGACGGUACAGGGUGAUAGUCCCGUACACGAAAACACACUUGCUGUGAACUCGAAGAGUAGGGCGGGACACGUGGUAUCCUGUCUGAAUAUGGGGGGACCAUCCUCCAAGGCUAAAUACUCCUGACUGACCGAUAGUGAACCAGUACCGUGAGGGAAAGGCGAAAAGAACCCCGGCGAGGGGAGUGAAAAAGAACCUGAAACCGUGUACGUACAAGCAGUGGGAGCACCUUCGGGUGUGACUGCGUACCUUUUGUAUAAUGGGUCAGCGACUUAUAUUCUGUAGCAAGGUUAACCGUAUAGGGGAGCCGAAGGGAAACCGAGUCUUAACUGGGCGUUAAGUUGCAGGGUAUAGACCCGAAACCCGGUGAUCUAGCCAUGGGCAGGUUGAAGGUUGGGUAACACUAACUGGAGGACCGAACCGACUAAUGUUGAAAAAUUAGCGGAUGACCUGUGGCUGGGGGUGAAAGGCCAAUCAAACCGGGAGAUAGCUGGUUCUCCCCGAAAGCUAUUUAGGUAGCGCCUCGUGAACUCAUCUUCGGGGGUAGAGCACUGUUUCGGCUAGGGGGCCAUCCCGGCUUACCAACCCGAUGCAAACUACGAAUACCGAAGAAUGUUAUCACGGGAGACACACGGCGGGUGCUAACGUCCGUCGUGAAGAGGGAAACAACCCAGACCGCCAGCUAAGGUCCCAAAGUCAUGGUUAAGUGGGAAACGAUGUGGGAAGGCACAGACAGCCAGGAUGUUGGCUUAGAAGCAGCCAUCAUUUAAAGAAAGCGUAAUAGCUCACUGGUCGAGUCGGCCUGCGCGGAAGAUGUAACGGGGCUAAACCAUGCACCGAAGCUGCGGCAGCGACGCUUAUGCGUUGUUGGGUAGGGGAGCGUUCUGUAAGCCGUUGAAGGUGUGCUGUGAGGCAUGCUGGAGGUAUCAGAAGUGCGAAUGCUGACAUAAGUAACGAUAAAGCGGGUGAAAAGCCCGCUCGCCGGAAGACCAAGGGUUCCUGUCCAACGUUAAUCGGGGCAGGGUGAGUCGACCCCUAAGGCGAGGCCGAAAGGCGUAGUCGAUGGGAAACAGGUUAAUAUUCCUGUACUUGGUGUUACUGCGAAGGGGGGACGGAGAAGGCUAUGUCAGCCGGGCGACGGUUGUCCCGGUUUAAGCAUGUAGGCGGAGGUUCCAGGUAAAUCCGGUACCUUUUAACGCUGAGGUGUGAUGACGAGGCACUACGGUGCUGAAGUGAUAAAUGCCCUGCUUCCAGGAAAAGCCUCUAAGCAUCAGGUAACACGAAAUCGUACCCCAAACCGACACAGGUGGUCAGGUAGAGAAUACCAAGGCGCUUGAGAGAACUCGGGUGAAGGAACUAGGCAAAAUGGUGCCGUAACUUCGGGAGAAGGCACGCUGAUAGGUAGGUGAAGCCCCUGCGGGCGGAGCUGAAAUCAGUCGAAGAUACCAGCUGGCUGCAACUGUUUAUUAAAAACACAGCACUGUGCAAACACGAAAGUGGACGUAUACGGUGUGACGCCUGCCCGGUGCCGGAAGGUUAAUUGAUGGGGUUAGCGGCAACGCGAAGCUCUUGAUCGAAGCCCCGGUAAACGGCGGCCGUAACUAUAACGGUCCUAAGGUAGCGAAAUUCCUUGUCGGGUAAGUUCCGACCUGCACGAAUGGCGUAAUGAUGGCCAGGCUGUCUCCACCCGAGACUCAGUGAAAUUGAACUCGCUGUGAAGAUGCAGUGUACCCGCGGCAAGACGGAAAGACCCCGUGAACCUUUACUAUAGCUUGACACUGAACACUGGUCCUUGAUGUGUAGGAUAGGUGGGAGGCUUUGAAGCGUGGACGCCAGUCUGCGUGGAGCCGUCCUUGAAAUACCACCCUUUAAUGGCUGGUGUUCUAACGUAGACCCGUGAUCCGGGUUGCGGACAGUGUCUGGUGGGUAGUUUGACUGGGGCGGUCUCCUCCCAAAGAGUAACGGAGGAGCACGAAGGUUGGCUAAUCCUGGUCGGACAUCAGGAGGUUAGUGCAAUGGCAUAAGCCAGCUUGACUGCGAGCGUGACGGCGCGAGCAGGUGCGAAAGCAGGUCAUAGUGAUCCGGUGGUUCUGAAUGGAAGGGCCAUCGCUCAACGGAUAAAAGGUACUCCGGGGAUAACAGGCUGAUACCGCCCAAGAGUUCAUAUCGACGGCGGUGUUUGGCACCUCGAUGUCGGCUCAUCACAUCCUGGGGCUGAAGUAGGUCCCAAGGGUAUGGCUGUUCGCCAUUUAAAGUGGUACGCGAGCUGGGUUUAGAACGUCGUGAGACAGUUCGGUCCCUAUCUGCCGUGGGCGCUGGAGAAUUGAGGGGGGCUGCUCCUAGUACGAGAGGACCGGAGUGGACGCAUCACUGGUGUUCGGGUUGUCAUGCCAAUGGCACUGCCCGGUAGCUAAAUGCGGAAGAGAUAAGUGCUGAAAGCAUCUAAGCACGAAACUUGCCCCGAGAUGAGUUCUCCCUGAGACCUUGAGUCUCCUGAAGGAACGUUGAAGACGACGACGUUGAUAGGUCGGGUGUGUAAGCGCAGCGAUGCGUUGAGCUAACCGAUACUAAUGAACCGUGAGGCUUAACCUU
rnacentral:rRNA from 1 species